rnacentral:rRNA from 1 species
UACGUAGGGGGCAAGCGUUGUCCGGAAUCAUUGGGUGUAAAGCGCGUGUAGGCGGCUGGCUAAGUCCGCUCUGAAAGCCCGGGGCUCAACCCCGGGAGCGGGUGGAUACUGGUCAGCUCGAGUCCGGAAGAGGAGUGUGGAAUUCCUGGUGUAGCGGUGAAAUGCGCAGAUAUCAGGAGGAACACCAAUGGCGAAGGCAGCACUCUGGGACGGUACUGACGCUGAGACGCGAAAGCGUGGGGAGCAAACAGG